rnacentral:rRNA from 1 species
AGUGAACGCUGGCGGUAGGCCUAACACAUGCAAGUCGAACGGCAGCACAGUAGGAGCUUGCUCUUACGGGUGGCGAGUGGCGGACGGGUGAGGAAUACAUCGGAAUCUGCUUUUUCGUGGGGGAUAACGUAGGGAAACUUACGCUAAUACCGCAUACGACCUACGGGUGAAAGCAGGGGAUCUUCGGACCUUGCGCGAUUGAAUGAGCCGAUGUCGGAUUAGCUAGUUGGCGGGGUAAAGGCCCACCAAGGCGACGAUCCGUAGCUGGUCUGAGAGGAUGAUCAGCCACACUGGAACUGAGACACGGUCCAGACUCCUACGGGAGGCAGCAGUGGGGAAUAUUGGACAAUGGGCGCAAGCCUGAUCCAGCCAUACCGCGUGGGUGAAGAAGGCCUUCGGGUUGUAAAGCCCUUUUGUUGGGAAAGAAAAGCAGCAGGUUAAUACCCCGCUGUUCUGACGGUACCCAAAGAAUAAGCACCGGCUAACUUCGUG